UACGAUUAUAUCACAUUGUAACACCGGUUCCUGUACAAUCAUUGAAGCUAAGCAACAUUGAUCCUGGUCAGUACCUGGAUAGGUGACUGCUUGGGAAUGCUAGGUGCUA